rnacentral:rRNA from 1 species
CACCUGCCCAAUGAAAAAUUAAAUGGCCGCGGUAUUUUGACCGUGCAAAGGUAGCAUAAUCAUUAGUUUUUUAAAUGGAAGCUUGUAUGAAAGGUUUGAUGAGAAAAUAGCUGUYUCUGUUUAAAUUUUUUAGAAGUUUAUUUUUAAGUAAAAAAGCUUAAAUAUUUAUAAAAGACGAGAAGACCCUUUAGAGUUUUAUAUAAAUAUUAAUAGAUAUAAUUUUAGGAUUAAAGUAUUUAUUAAUAAAUUUAUUUGAUUGGGGUGAUUGAAAAAUUAAUAAAACUUUUUUUUUAUAAGAACAUUGAUUUAUGAAAAUUUGAUCCUUAUUUAAAGAUUAAAAGAGGAAAUUACCUAAGGGAUAACAGCGUAAUUUUUUUUUAGAGUUCGGAUUGGAAGAAAAGAUUGCGACCUCGAUGUUGGAUUAAAGAAGAUUAUUGGUGUAGAAGYUAMUYDAUUAGRUCUGUUCGACCU